UUGAAUGACAAGGUUUGUAACAGGACUGGCACACUAUCAUGUGGUAUGGUAUAACUAUGGUUGUAUAACAGGUUUGUAACAGGACUGGCACACUAUCAUGUGGUAUGGUAUAACUAUGGUUGUAUGACAAGGUUUGUAACAGGACUGGCACACUAUCAUGUGGUAUGGUAUAACUAUGGUUGUAUGACAAGGUUUGUAACAGGACUGGCACACUAUCAUGUGGUAUGGUAUAACUAUGGUUGUAUAACAGGUUUGUAACAGGACUGGCACAUUAUCA